AUGAGCCCAUCGGCCUAAUCCGCCGCCAAGCUGGCGGUCCGGAGGUUUGGCGUAUAGGAGAGACGCUUCCCGGGCACCGACUCCCGGUGCAAGUCCCCCUGACUGGGGCUCUUACCCCGAGAGGGUGCAAGGCCCGUAGCGGCCGGAAGGCGGUCCCGGGAUGUCCUCUCCUGGGAGUCGGGUUGCUUGAGAGUGCAGCCCUAAUCAGGUGGUAAACUCCAUCUAAGGCUAAAUACGACCUGGAGACCGAUAGCGAACAAGUACCGUGAGGGAAAGUUGAAAAGGACUUUGAAGAGAGAGUUCAAGAGUACGUGAAACCGUUCGGAGGUAAACGAGUGGGCCCUCGAAGUGCGAAGGCGGGGGGACUCAGCCGAACGUCGCGAGCCUGCCGGCAAGUCCGCGCUUCCCAACCAGGACGCGGCUGGCCGGCGCAAAGGUUCCGGCGGGCGGCGCAUUUCUUCCCGUCCUCCGACGCUGCGACCGGUCGGGUGCGCCACGAGCAGUCGGCCUUACUCGCGGGAGCCGGAAGGUAGCCGGGUCAGCGCCUCGGCGCUGUCCCCGGGUGAUUGUCCGUCCCGCAAUCGAGUAGCCGUUCACCCGACCGCAGGACGUGGCCCUCCAAGGGGCCUCGCCGCGCUCCUCCUCCCCUUCGGGGGGGGGGGAUCGGGAGCUCGCCCUCGGAAGGGAGGGCCCGUCGCACAUCCCCAUUUGUCACACCCUGGGUGUGGUGGCCCCUGGGGCGUGCGGUCCCCCCUUGCCGGGGCGGAAUUUACGAGGCCGGGCGCAGGGCGGNNNNNNNNAAACUCCUUGACCCGUCCUUGAACACGGACCAAGGAGUUUAACAUGCACGCAAGUCACGGGGUCUUGAACAGGCCCAGGGGCGCAAUGAAAGUGAAGGGCGACAUUUCGUCGUCCGCGUUGGGAUCCGUCGGCCUCGGUCGGCGGCGCACCAACGGCUCGUCCAGGCCGCCACGUCGGCCGGGCGAAGCUAGAGCGUGCAUGUUGAGACCCGAAAGAUGGUGAACUAUGGCUGGGCAGGACGAAGCCAGAGGAAACUCUGGUGGAGGUCCGCAGCGGUUCUGACGUGCAAAUCGAUCGUCAGACCUGGCUAUAGGGGCGAAAGACUAAUCGAACCAUCUAGUAGCUGGUUCCCUCCGAAGUUUCCCUCAGGAUAGCUGGCGCUCGGGAGGAAGCAGUCUCAUCCGGUAAAGCGAAUGAUUAGAGGCCUUGGGGCCGAAAAGACCUCAACCUAUUCUCAAACUUUCAAUGGGUGAGAAGUCCGGUUUGCCCGAUUGANGCCCGGACCUUCUCGGAUGCGAGUGCCCAGUGGGCCACUUUUGGUAAGCAGAAYKGGCNGCUGUGGRAUGAACCAAACGACGGGUUAAGGGGCCCGAUGCAGGACGCUCAUGAGAACCCAUGAAAGGUGUUGGUUGCUAUAGACAGCAGGACGGUGGCCAUGGAAGUCGGAAUCCGCUAAGGAGUGUGUAACAACUCACCUGCCGAAGCAACUAGCCCUGAAAAUGGAUGGCGCUUCAGCGUCGACCCCAUACCCGUCCGCCGCGGCGGAGAUGCGAUCGCAUUAUGCCGCGGUGAGUAGGAGGGCGCGGGGGCGCGCGUGGAAGGUGCCGGGCGUAAGCCCGCCUGGAGCCGCCCCCGGUGCAGAUCUUGGUGGUAGUAGCAAAUACUCAAGUGAGAACCUUGAGGACUGAGGUGGAGAAGGGUUCCAUGUGAACAGCAGUUGAACAUGGGUCAGUCGGUCCUAAGGGAUGUCCGAAAGGAUUUCCGAAGGGGGGACGUUCUCACUUGUUCCCCCCCAUGACCGAAAGGGAAUCGGGUUAAUAUUCCCGAACCCGGACACGGAGAUCGGUCCCUUCGGGGACACGUGCGGUAACGCAAACGACCUCGGAGACGUCGACGGGGGUCCCGGAAAGAGUUGUCUUUUCUUUGUAAGGGUUCGGCUCCCUGGAAAUCGGCUCGCCCGGAGAUAGGGAUGCUGAACCCGUAAAGCACCGCGCCUCUUGUGGUGUCCGGAGCGCUCCCGUCGGCCCUUUGAAAAUCCGAGCCGAGAGUUGGUGAAUUUUUCGUGCCGGCCCGUACCCAUUAU
rnacentral:rRNA from 1 species